rnacentral:rRNA from 1 species
AACGAACGCUGGCGGCAUGCCUAACACAUGCAAGUCGAACGAAGCCUUCGGGCUUAGUGGCGCACGGGUGCGUAACGCGUGGGAAUCUGCCCUUGGGUUCGGAAUAACAGUUAGAAAUGACUGCUAAUACCGAAUGAUGUCUUCGGACCAAAGAUUUAUCGCCCAAGGAUGAGCCCGCGUCGGAUUAGCUAGUUGGUGAGGUAAAGGCUCACCAAGGCGACGAUCCGUAGCUGGUCUGAGAGGAUGAUCAGCCACACUGGGACUGAGAUACGGCCCAGACUCCUACGGGAGGCAGCAGUGGGGAAUAUUGGACAAUGGGGGCAACCCUGAUCCAGCAAUGCCGCGUGAGUGAUGAAGGCCUUAGGGUUGUAAAGCUCUUUUGCCAGGGAAGAUGAUGACUGUACCUGGAGAAUAAAGCCCCGGCUAACUUCGUGCCAGCAGCCGCGGUAAU